rnacentral:lncRNA from 1 species
GUAAGCAGCGCGAAGGCAUUUCCAUGAAGUGGGAGGCGUGUGCAGGUCAGCGUGCCCCUCCACGGCCCACGCUUCAGGCAUUCUGUUCAUGUUUUUACAGCUUUAACAUUUUCUGCAUAGUGAUGUCAUACAUGUAUUUUGAAACAAAAUGGGUCCUAAUAUACAAAAGGUCCUUUUUUAAAAUUACUCAACAUUGUGGCGUGCACAUUUUCGCAGUGACUGUGGACCUACUGUGUGGGUCUCCACCCCUGGCCCUGGUCUGUUGUCACUGCUCCUCCAGCAUAAACCAAAAAACAAUAAGUCCCUGAUCGGGGAGUGGGGGAGAGGUGGAGGCAGGGACAGCUCCCACAGGGAUGCGAGGGUAGGGGAAGGGCACAGAGGGAGUGACUCAGGGCUGGUGAUCUUAGUGGGAGCAGCUAAGCCCUACAUGCUUCGGGAGCUUGGCUCUAGUCACAGGUCCUGUGAGCCUGUCCUUGUAGGCAUUUCUUCGUGGAGCAAACAUCUCCAAAUGUGAAAGCCUUUCGGCACAUUUCACCAAACUGCCCCCAGAAGCUUCGAACAGGGGACACUUACCAGCCCCCAGAGGGUCCUGAGAAUCCAUCCCCCAGACCCUCAUUGGCAUCAGCUAUUGCAGGAAAACAGAGACAGAGAUGGAGAAGGAGACUCCUGAGUUCAUCAAGAAACACCUUGAUCCAGCCUUGCUUGGAACGUUGGGGUAGAUGAACAACAGGAGAAUGGACAAGACAUCAUAAAGGCGGUAAUCAUGCUUCCUUCGGCCAGAAACGGUCCCCAUCCCAUCUAUUGAUGAGAACGCAGCCAUGUGACCACAUCUCCUUGCCAGGCAGGCUGGGCAAUGUGGCUUCACCACGUACCAAGGAAGGAGGAGCAGCAACUGGUGAGCAUACAGCGCAGCACCCACUUGUGGUGCCAGACCAUCAGGUAAGGCCAGACACAGCCGGGCAGCCUGGCAGCAAGGACAACGAAACCUGGAGCUGGUUUAUCGGUGACGAGUGGAAUCUGUUUCCUGAAGAGCCUGAGAAGGCAAAGAGCCUCCUCUGCGGGAAGACGGGAGUGAGGGGCUGACUGCCGGCAUUCCAGGACAAGAAAUUCUGCCCCUCCGGGGUGCAUCCUCCUUCUUCCAUUCUCAUGGAAGUGGUCAGCGACGUCAGGAAGCUCACUCCGUGUUUUCCAAGGAAAGAACACUGGUCCUGGAAUCGGCCUGCCUCUGGUUCCAGCAGGCCCGGCCAGGCCAUCCCGGCACCUCCGCUGGCUUCUCCUCCAACCCAUCAGGCUUGGUCAGUCCUUCUCUUCCAGCGACCUCAGAGUGGCAGAGCCAUUGGUGCAGCUAUAAAUGACUGAUGGCCCGGUUGUGUUGGAGGAAUUGUAAACACCAUUCAUAAUUCAUCGGGCGGGCAUGUGCUUUGCAUUUAGAAUGGCUGGUACCCGCAGCCUGCUGCGGAGCUGCAGGGAGACCUGGUGGACGACGUCCCCUGCACCCUCCAGGGCCAGUGGCUCAGCCAGGAUUCAGGGAGGCUCUAGUGGCUGGAUUAACUCAGGGCUUCAAGGCUGGCUUUUCACAGAGCUCCAUGUUUGAGGUAUUAGCUUAUCACCUGUUACUUAAUUUUUUCCUUUCCAUCAACUACCUUAUUUUACAUAAUUCAAUUUUAAAAAGGAAAAUUUGCAUCAUUUUCCAAAAUGAAAAUCAGUAUCUACUGCCCUUAAUAUCCAGUCCCAGCGAGGAGGAGGAAGUGCAUCUCUGAUUGGCUUGAUUUGGUUGUGUGCCCAUCCCUUAUCCAAUCACUGUGAUGAGAGUGUGUGUAACUCUGAUUGGCUUGAUCUGGUCAUGUGGUUACAUGUUAUCCAAUCACUGUGAUGAGGAUGUUUGGGACUAUGAUUGGCUUGAUUUGGUCAUGUGCCCACCUCUUAUCCAAUCACCAUGAUGAGGCUGGGCUGUGUAUGACUCUGAUUGGCCAGUAAUAGGUCACAUGCUCACUGGUGAUGUGACGGGCUGGGUCAAAGUGCAGGUCACUUUCUUCAGGGAAAUCCUGAUGUUGUGACAGGAGGAAGAGGAAGAGGAGGGACAUGUCAAAUAAUAUCGCCCACGGUUCUGUUCUCUAAAUGUUCCUCUUUCUCCCACACUGCUGAGCAGAGCUGUUGAGGUCUGCAAGGAACUGCUGGUGUAAAGUGUGGGAUUGAGCCCCUGUGCUCCCCAGGUGGGCCUUGGUGAGCCCCUGAGUGUGAACACAUGCCUGGGCUGAGCCCCUGAGAGUGAGGCCCUGUGUGUGAACACCUGCUUGGGGUGAGCCCCUGAGAGUGAGCCCCUGUGAACACAUGCCUGGGCUGAGUCCCUGAGAGUGAGCCCCUGUGUGUGAACACAUUCCCGGGGUGAUCCCCUGAGAGUGAGCCCCUGAAUGUGAACACCUUCCUGGGGUGAGCCUCUGAGAGUGAGCCCCUGUGAACACUUUCCUGGGUGAGCCCCUGAGAGUGAACCUCUGUGUGUGAACACCUGCCCGGGGUGAGCCCCUGAGAGUGAGCUCCUGUGUAUGACACCUUCCUGGGGUGAGCCCCUGAGAGUGAGCCCCUGAGUGUGAACACCUGCCUGGGAUGGGCACCUGUCCAGCAUGGGCAUCUGAAUGUGGGCAUGUGAACGUAUGCACCUGAGUAUGAACAGCAUUACCAUACCAUGCUCUCUGAGGAAUUCUCACUGUGAAGUUCCUGGUAAUAAAAGUCAAUCAAAACUCCAUGUUCUAUCGACCCAGCUCCCUCCACAUUCCACAUCUUCUUUCUGGUCUUAAAACAGGAAUUAAAAGAAAUUAAAGAAUGUGUAAGCAGAAACUCAGUUGUAUGUAAGAAAACCCAGGCCGGGCGCGGUGGCUCACGCUUGUAAUCCCAGCACUUUGGGAGGCCGAGGCGGGUGGAUCACGAGGUCAGGAAAUCGAGACCACGGUGAAACCCCGUCUCUACUAAAAAAAAUAAAAAAAAAAAAAAAUUAGCCGGGCGUGGUGGCGGGCGCCUGUAGUCCCAGCUACUCGGAGAGGCUGAGGCAGGAGAAUGGAGUGAACCCGGGAGGCGGAGCUUGCAGUGAGCCGAGACUGCGCCACUGCACUCCAGCCUGGGUGACAGAGCGAGACUCCGUCUCAAAAAAAAAAAAAAAAAAAAAAAAAAAAAAAAAAAAAAGAAAACCCAAUUCCCCUUGAGAAAGAGAAAGAGCUGGAGUCCUUUAAAAAUUAACUGCCUGUUUUUCUGUGGCUAGUGAGCCUUAUCUCUCCUCCCUUCCCAGGCAUUGUGAAGACCCUGUUUCCCUAGCUGUGCAGCUGCAAGGUCACCAGACAGAUAAACUCAAGUCGCAAAACAUGUUUUUCCUUGAAAAGUAAGAAAUGAUGUAAUACAUGUCUCAGUUGAAUAACUGUCUUUGUUUCUCGCUUCUGUAAUAUGCUUCCCCCUGCACAGAUCUCCCCCCCACAACACCCCACCCCAUGAAAUGCUUAAAAGGUAACUUAACUCUUUGUUCAGGGCUCAGUCAUUGGAAUGUUAGUCCUACUGGGCCGGUGUACCUAAAUAAUAAAUAUCCUCCUCAACCCCAUCGGUCUCUGAUUCCUUAUCAAUCCUGCUACAGUCUUAGGCAGAGUCAUCAGUUGGAUAUAAAGUUUCUCGGUCUGUUUUUAGUGAACGUACAUGGAAAACACGUACAGAACUGGAAUCGUGGAAUAACUCACAUGUGGAAUUGAAUCCUAAGCACAAGUUUGGUACCAAGGUCCACACAUGAGGUGGGAAUCAUGCAGCAUGAAGUCCCCUGGGGAGUCCCACACGGACCUGCAUGGUAGCCACUGCCACCUGCCCCACCAGCCCAGCACGGCCGGCUUCACCCUGAUGCUUCUGCAGUUGAGCAGAAGAUGAUGGUGGGUAUGAACUUGGAAGCUAAACGGUCUGGAUUUGCAUCGCUGCACUUCUAUAAGCCCAUCUGUAAAACAGGUUUAUGUGGAUUCAGUAGUUGAAUAUAGGAGAAGCCGUAAGAGGGAUUCUCGGCACUUCAUAAAUUCUCGGACGAUGUUGGAAAUGACGGCAGCGAAGAGCACGAUGAUCACUGUUACAGACUACAGCUUCCCAGCUGGCAAGGUGCCCACACCCCAA